rnacentral:misc_RNA from 1 species
GCAAACUUGGUCAUUUAGAGGAAGUAAAAGUCGUAACAAGGUCUCCGUUGGUGAACCAGCGGAGGGAUCAUUACUGAGUUAUCAAAACUCCAAACCCUUUGUGAACCUUACCGUCGUUGCCUCGGCGUGAGCUACGGCUACCCUGUAACUACCCUGGAGCUACCCUAGAGUUACCCUAUAGCUACCCUGCACUUACCCUGCAGCUACCCUAUAGCUACCCUGGAGCUACCCUGGAGCUACCCUGUAGUCGGCUUCGGCCCGCCGAAGGACCGUUAAACUCUUGUUUUUUUACCACUGUUUCUCUGAAUUUUAAACUAAAAUUAGUUAAAACUUUCAACAACGGAUCUCUUGGUUCUGGCAUCGAUGAAGAACGCAGC